rnacentral:rRNA from 1 species
CAAUAGCGCAUAUUAACGUUGUUGCAGUUAAAAAGCUCGUAGUUGGAUUUCUGGAGGGAGCGUCGGCCCGUAUUUACGAGUGCGUGACGUCUCUGUCCAUCCUUGCGGGAAGGCACGGCAUUGAUUUGUUGUGUCGGAUCGCAUCAUUUACUGUGAAAAAAUUAGAGUGUUCAAAGCAGGCUUUCGCUUGAAUACAUUAGCAUGGAAUAAUAAGAUAGGACUUUGGUGCUAUUUUGUUGGUUGAGCCUAAAGUAAUGAUUAAUAGGGAUAGUUGGGGGCACCUGUAUUGCGUUGUCAGAGGUGAAAUUCUUGGAUUUACGCAAGACAAACAGCUGCGAAAGCGUCUGCCAAGGAUGUUUUCAUUAA